rnacentral:tRNA from 1 species
GCCGAAGUGAUGGAAUUGGUAGACGUGACGGACUCAAAAUCCGUUUGGGGCGACCCAGUGGGGGUUCGAGUCCCCCCUUCGGCACCA